AGUUGGUUAGAGCGCGCGCUUGAUAAGCGUGAGGUCGGAAGUUCAAGUCUUCCCAGGCCCACCACUUUCAUCGAGUGAGCAUUCGUCUUCUGGUUACGGGGCCAUAGCUCAGCUGGGAGAGCGCGUGCUUUGCAAGCAUGAGGUCGUCGGUUCGAUCCCGUCUGGCUCCACCAGAUGGUUUGAUCGCCGAGAUCUUGCACCGUCGUCCGCGAAACAUCACUUCGCAUCCUGCUAGUCUGGAUAGACAGCAAGAUGCGUGUUUUCUGACAUCGUAAAGAGGAGAUCGAUCCGAGUUGGGUCGUGCAGCAGAUUGUUGCGCGAAUCCUUCAUUAUCUCCGGAUCAUUUUCGGCGCUCGCUUUCAGCCGUGAGGUUGAAUGCGAGUUGUAAAAUGAUCCUUUUAGCGAAGCUUGACCGCCUCGCUAUCGGAACGAUCUUACGAAGCAAGCUGGUCUUUCUAGUCAAUGUCCGGCUGCAGAUAGCGUUCGUCGAGGGCGCGUGCCGCAAGGCAAUUCUGCAGACAACAUUCUGCCGAGUGUGUGGACAUUGAUAAUGAGAGCAAUCAAGUGCCUUAAGGGUGUUCGGUGGAUGCCUUGGCGCUGAGAGGCGAUGAAGGACGUGCUACGCUGCGAUAAGCC
rnacentral:misc_RNA from 1 species